UGGGGAAUAUUGCACAAUGGGGGAAACCCUGAUGCAGCGACGCCGCGUGAACGAAGAAGGUAUUCGUAUCGUAAAGUUCUGUCCUAUGGGAAGAAAAUGACAGUACCAUAGAAGAAAGCUCCGGCUAAAUACGUGCCAGCAGCCGCGGUAAUACGUAUGGAGCGAGCGUUGUCCGGAAUUAUUGGGCGUAAAGGGUACGCAGGCGGUUUAAUAAGUCGAAUGUUAAAGAUCGGGGCUCAACCCCGUAAAGCAUUGGAAACUGAUAAACUUGAGUAGUGGAGAGGAAAGUGGAAUUCCUAGUGUAGUGGUGAAAUACGUAGAUAUUAGGAGGAAUACCAGUAGCGAAGGCGACUUUCUGGACACAAACUGACGCUGAGGUACGAAAGCGUGGGGAGCAAACAGG
rnacentral:rRNA from 1 species